GAUGAACGCUGGCGGCGUGCCUAAUACAUGCAAGUCGAGCGAACGGACGAGAAGCUUGCUUCUCUGAUGUUAGCGGCGGACGGGUGAGUAACACGUGGAUAACCUACCUAUAAGACUGGGAUAACUUCGGGAAACCGGAGCUAAUACCGGAUGAUAUUUUGAACCGCAUGGUUCAAAAGUGAAAGACGGUCUUGCUGUCACUUAUAGAUGGAUCCGCGUUGCAUUAGCUAGUUGGUAAGGUAACGGCUUACCAAGGCAACGAUGCAUAGCCGACCUGAGAGGGUGAUCGGCCACACUGGAACUGAGACACGGUCCAGACUCCUACGGGAGGCAGCAGUAGGGAAUAUUCCGCAAUGGGCGAAAGCCUGACGGAGCAACGCCGCGUGAGUGAUGAAGGUCUUCGGAUCGUAAAACUCUGUUAUUAGGGAAGAACAUAUGUGUAAGUAACUGUGCACAUCUUGACGGUACCUAAUCAGAAAGCCACGGCUAACUACGUG
rnacentral:rRNA from 1 species